rnacentral:lncRNA from 1 species
AUUUGAUUAACUUUGAUAGAAAUUAUUUAACUAAAUCUCACAUUUCCAUUGAACAUGAUCAAGUCAUAUUGUGAUCUUAUCAUUGCUCUGGACAAAGACACUAAAGUUUAAUCCUAGUUUAUUUAUAAACCAUGAAAAUGUAAAAUUAAUUAUAAGAUAUAUUGUGUGAAUACCUAAUAUCUAUAAACUUCAGAUAAAUAAAUAUAAAAUGUUGGAACUUGGGAAUAUAAUUUCAACACAAUGUGAUAUAGUAAUUGCCUUAGAUGUAGCUUUUGAAAGAUAAAAAACAUAGCGAAAGAGAUCACUUUCGAACAAUUACUGGCUUAACAGGUUUCUUGAAGUCAGGUGUCGUGGAACUUGAUGACCGCUUAGCUGCACAAACAUGUUGAGUACAGAAUAAGCUGUCGAAAAUUCAUUCAUUGACAUAACUCUUGAAGUAUUUUUGAGACAUCAUUAUCAUAAAGAAUAUUGAUCGUGAUAAAAAUUAUAAGAGCCGUGCAUGUCACCCUCUAUGUUGGUAACGCAAAACUUAAAAAUUGUUUUUAUGAAAAGGUUGUUGAAGUAUUUUUCUAAAAUUUCAUCAAGAAUUUGUCAUGGUGGAAAGUUGUAUAAACGCAUUCCAAUUGACAGAUAUUUGGGUUUUAAAAUCAAGUAGAAGGGCAUAGUUCUGCUAUGUGUACAGAAAAGUGUUGCCAGAAUUUAUACAAAAUAUACUGACAGUUUUUUAUUGGACAAUUACGAAAAAAAGACCAAACAGAUGCUGUAGUGGUAGCAUCUUGAAAAAUUCUGACUACAAAGGAAUUGCUGUAGAAGGCGCGUAGUGGAAAGAAGGGAGGAUACAAAAACACUAAUAUAAAUGUUCCACCUAAGCAACGAGAGUACAAUUUGUAUUGGCAAAGCUUGGCUCAAAGUAAAAAUUAAUGGAAACGAUUUAUCCCUAGCUAACAAAGUGCUGGAUGAGUUAAAAUAUAAAGUUUAUUUACUUGUUGAGAAUUUUUUU